ensembl:lncRNA
CAGGCGGAAGGCGGGUCACUCCAGGCUGCUGCAGUCGUCGUCACUGUCGCUGCUAGUUGUAUCAUCCAGGAUGACCGGUGAAGCACUCGGAGGAGGAAGACUGAACUGCUGGGGACCUGGAAUGUAGAAGAUCAUCGUUAAGCGUACAAUUUGGUGACAUGGGAGGCAAAAGCCAGCUUCUUCCCUCCUCUGCCAAGCCAGUUGAAUUUCAGCGCGAAGUGGUUGGUGAGGAUGUGGCGAAGGAUUCUUCGAACCGCGUCACCAGGAUUGCAGCCCCCAAGCGCACUAAGGUGUGCUGCCUGCAGGUAAGAAUGGAAAGUAAUGUUUUAGAAUAUCUUAUUAUGGCUUAUAGUCAGCAUACCGUUCAAAAUGAACAUCUUUGGUAAUGCGAAAAGUUCA